GACGUAGGAGGCGAGCGUUGUCCGGAUUCAUUGGGCGUAAAGAGCGCGCAGGCGGCUUGGUAAGUCGGAUGUGAAAUCCCGAGGCUCAACCUCGGGUCUGCAUCCGAUACUGCCCGGCUAGAGGUAGGUAGGGGAGAUCGGAAUUCCUGGUGUAGCGGUGAAAUGCGCAGAUAUCAGGAGGAACACCGGUGGCGAAGGCGGGUCUCUGGGCCGAUACUGACGCUGAGGAGCGAAAGCAUGGGGAGCGAACAGG
rnacentral:rRNA from 1 species